CCUACGGGAGGCAGCAGUGUGGAAUAUUGGGCAAUGGGCGCAAGCCUGACCCAGCAACGCCGCGUGAAGGAAGAAGGCUUUCGGGUUGUAAACUUCUUUUCUCAGGGACGAAGCAAGUGACGGUACCUGAGGAAUAAGCCACGGCUAACUACGUGCCAGCAGCCGCGGUAAUACGUAGGUGGCAAGCGUUAUCCGGAUUUACUGGGUGUAAAGGGCGUGUAGGCGGGGGUGCAAGUCAGAUGUGAAAACUAUGGGCUCAACCCAUAGCCUGCAUUUGAAACUGUGCUUCUUGAGUGCUGGAGAGGCAAACGGAAUUCCGAGUGUAGCGGUGAAAUGCGUAGAUAUAAGGAGGAACACCAGUGGCGAAGGCGGAUUGCUGGACAGUAACUGACGCUGAGGCGCGAAAGCGUGGGGAGCAAACAGGAUUAGAUACCCUUGUAGUC
rnacentral:rRNA from 1 species